ACUGAGAUGGCCAUGUUUGAAUGGAAGGAGCCCAGCAAGCUUUGGGUGGGGCUUGGUAACCCAUGCUCAGAGGAGGACCUGAAUUUUUUCUAUGCCUCAACCACGAUUACUGUUGGAAACGGUGCCAAAACGCCUUUUUGGGACUCUCCUUGGCUGCUUGGGCGCAAACCCAAGGACAUUGCCCCACUAAUCUUCGGUGUCUCCAGGAGAAAGAAUUGGAAGGUGCGUGAGGCCCUUAAAGGGAAUGCAUGGAUCCUGAAGGUCAAGAUUGACAUGCCCGUCACCGCUGCCCACGUUCACGAGUUCUUCUCCCUUUGGAUGCUCGUGAAUGAGGUCCACCUUGACGAGCAUGCCGAGGAUGAUAUCACCUGGAAGCACUCCAACGACGGGAUGUACUCGGCAUCCUCUGCCUACAAGGCUCAAUUCCUUGGGUUGAUUCUCUCCCCUAUGGAUUUCAUGGUGUGGAAAGCUUGGGCUCCACCCAAAGUUAAAUUCUUCUCGUGGCUGGCUCUACAAGACCAGAUUUGGACUGCGGAUAGGUUGGCCAGUCGCGGCUGG
rnacentral:rRNA from 1 species